UGAUUGGCUGACUGGAAGGGGCCGUGCACUCAGGACCACUUUCGCGCGUCACAGAGCCAGCACCUCGGGCAGCUCAGAGGACCCCCUAGGCAACCCAGCUCACUCCAACUGUGGGGAGUCCCCUUCCUCCCGCGGGGUGCUGGGGACUGUCCCACCUAACUGUGGCUGACCGCUCGGAGGAUCACCCCUUCCGGAGAGAGUGUUCACAUCCUGGGGGUCACUGUGACCACACACACCCCUGGGGAGGCGGCCCCCAGGGAGGAGGCUCCCUAAGGGACCGGGUGCUGGUCAGCCUUUGACAGAGCACCGGCACUGGUGCCUGGCAUACAUUCUCAUCGCCCAGCCUUCCUGAAAAAGGGGAAAUGGCUCACAAAAGUGAGUGACUUGCCCGAGGUCACACAGGCAGUAAAUGGGGGUCUGAAUCCACACCCAGGCAUGCAAGACUCCCACUGAAGCGCUUUCCCUUUGUGAGACUCAGGCUGGUUCCGGCCAGGCUCCUAAAGGCACCAGAUGAGGAAACAGUCCUCAGGAGACCAGACACUUCCAGAAGGAGCCAAAGGCCAGCCAAGAAUUCCACCCUCUGCAGGAAAUGAGCAUCAGAUGCAAGUUGGGAGUGUCCCUGGGUCAGGUGACCUGGGACCCUGGCUGGGGCCUCUAGUUUCUCGGGGAUGUCCCGCUCGCUCCCGAAGUGCGCUGGGCAGAGCCAUCGGAUCCUCUGUUGACAGGGGGUGAGCUGAAAUCAGAAUGAGGGGGGCGCUGUUGGAGGUUCCGCGGGCUGGAGAACCCUCAAGAAGGCCAGCG